rnacentral:rRNA from 1 species
UACGUAGGGGGCAAGCGUUGUCCGGAUUUAUUGGGCGUAAAGAGCGUGUAGGCGGCUAGAUAGGUCCGUUGUGAAAACUCGAGGCUCAACCUCGAGACGCCGGUGGAAACCAUCUAGCUAGAGUCCGGAAGAGGAGAGUGGAAUUCCUGGUGUAGCGGUGAAAUGCGCAGAUAUCAGGAAGAACACCCGUGGCGAAGGCGGCUCUCUGGUACGUGACUGACGCUGAGACGCGAAAGUGUGGGGAGCGAACAGG